rnacentral:rRNA from 1 species
UGCAGUCGAGGGGCAGCAUUUCAGUUUGCUUGCAAACUGGAGAUGGCGACCGGCGCACGGGUGAGUAACACGUAUCCAACCUGCCGAUAACUCGGGGAUAGCCUUUCGAAAGAAAGAUUAAUACCCGAUGGUAUAAUCAGACCGCAUGGUCUUAUUAUUAAAGAAUUUCGGUUAUCGAUGGGGAUGCGUUCCAUUAGGCAGUUGGUGAGGUAACGGCUCACCAAACCUUCGAUGGAUAGGGGUUCUGAGAGGAAGGUCCCCCACAUUGGAACUGAGACACGGUCCAAACUCCUACGGGAGGCAGCAGUGAGGAAUAUUGGUCAAUGGGCGCAGGCCUGAACCAGCCAAGUAGCGUGAAGGAUGACUGCCCUAUGGGUUGUAAACUUCUUUUAUAUGGGAAUAAAGUUUUCCACGUGUGGAAUUUUGUAUGUACCAUAUGAAUAAGGAUCGGCUAACUCCGUGCCAGCAGCCGCGGUAAUACGGAGGAUCCGAGCGUUAUCCGGAUUUAUUGGGUUUAAAGGGAGCGUAGGUGGACAGUUAAGUCAGUUGUGAAAGUUUGCGGCUCAACCGUAAAAUUGCAGUUGAUACUGGCUGUCUUGAGUACAGUAGAGGUGGGCGGAAUUCGUGGUGUAGCGGUGAAAUGCUUAGAUAUCACGAAGAACUCCGAUUGCGAAGGCAGCUCACUGGACUGCAACUGACACUGAUGCUCGAAAGUGUGGGUAUCAAACAGGAUUAGAUACCCUGGUAGUCCACACAGUAAACGAUGAAUACUCGCUGUUUGCGAUAUACAGUAAGCGGCCAAGCGAAAGCAUUAAGUAUUCCACCUGGGGAGUACGCCGGCAACGGUGAAACUCAAAGGAAUUGACGGGGGCCCGCACAAGCGGAGGAACAUGUGGUUUAAUUCGAUGAUACGCGAGGAACCUUACCCGGGCUUAAAUUGCAUUUGAAUAANUUGGAAACAGGNUAGCCGCAAGGCAAAUGUGAAGGUGCUGCAUGGUUGUCGUCAGCUCGUGCCGUGAGGUGUCGGCUUAAGUGCCAUAACGAGCGCAACCCUUAUCUUUAGUUACUAACAGGUCAUGCUGAGGACUCUAGAGAGACUGCCGUCGUAAGAUGUGAGGAAGGUGGGGAUGACGUCAAAUCAGCACGGCCCUUACGUCCGGGGCUACACACGUGUUACAAUGGGGGGUACAGAAGGCAGCUACCUGGUGACAGGAUGCUAAUCCCAAAAGCCUCUCUCAGUUCGGAUCGAAGUCUGCAACCCGACUUCGUGAAGCUGGAUUCGCUAGUAAUCGCGCAUCAGCCAUGGCGCGGUGAAUACGUUCCCGGGCCUUGUACACACCGCCCGUCAAGCCAUGAAAGCCGGGGGUACCUGAAGUACGUAACCGCAAGGAGC